rnacentral:rRNA from 1 species
GCCACGGCGCGGUGAAUACGUUCCCGGGCCUUGUACACACCGCCCGUCAAGCCAUGAAAGCCGGGAGUACCUGAAGUGCGUAACCGCAAGGAGCGCCCUAGGGUAACACCGGUAAUUGGGGCUAAGUCGUAACAAGGUAGCCGUACCGGAAGGUGCGGCUGGAACACCUCCUUUCUGGAG